rnacentral:rRNA from 1 species
UGUGAGUGAUUCUUGUUAGGGGAAGAUGCAUAGUAAAGGAUGGUCCACCUAUUAAUUUACUCUUUUUAUGUUGGUGUAUGUCUGGUUUGAUAUUAUUGUUUAGUAAUGUAAGUUUGUGUAGUUUUAGUUAAGCUAAGUCUAUGUGCUGCUUAUAAGAGUUUUUGUGUGUUACAUUGAUAGGAAUAUUGUUGUAAUAUGGUAUUGUUUA